GUCCAAAAGACUAUACAAAUAAAACUGCAUCACAUAGAUUAUUAUUAAUAAGCAUGCAGUUCUUACUUUUCAGACAUUAAUGUAAAUGUAUCCGAUGCAUGUAUGCCUGAUAUACAAUGAUCAGAGUGCAAAUCAUUAAGAUAUUGCUCUUAACAUUCAAUUUUUUGUUUAAUUAACCUGAUGGUUAAAUUAGUCAUCGCCAGACUAUAUAAGAACUAGACAAUUACACAAUAUAAGAAUGUCAGUGUCAGCUAUCACAAGGAUCUUAAUGAAUUGUUUGUGCAUCGAUAGCUUGGUGAAAAUCCAGGCAGGUCUACCCCGCUGAGGCAAUGGGACACAUUAUAACAAAUUGAAAUGGCUGUUGGGCCUGCUUAACUAAGAAUUAAUAAAAAAGAAAAACAAGCCAAAAUCGCCAAAGCAGCCUCCGCAAUGCACUGGUCUCCUUUAUAAAGACAUCUGCUGAUGACACACUUUGGAAAGGCCUGCUCAUGCGGAGGCUGGCAAACAAAUCGGUCUAACGAGAUUGGGCUACAUGACGGCCUGCUGUAAGAGAACGACGCGGGGUCCCACACAACCUGCCACUGAGCGGGACGCCACAAAGCUGCCUGGGCCUGCCACAAACAUGUGGCCUAACACAGGCAGGGUGGCAGAAUACCAUUAAGGCCUGAAAUCCAGUCUACAUGCUAUUCUCUCUCAGGCAACCACCAGCUCAGCAAGGUCCUCCAAUCUGGCACAAAUUGUAUUAGCUGUUUUGCUCCUGUUUUGCAAAAUAUUUUUAAAAUACAGUACAUAAUUUAUAUAUUCUAGUACUACUAGGUGGGAUGUAGAGUAAUAUGGUAAGUAAAAUGUUGACAUGACUAUCUCUGGCACAUGUUGCUGUUUGAACUUCAACUUGUGUAAUUACAGAGUUUGCUUCAGGUGACACAUAUGCACCCUGCUAUAAGAUUCACAGUGUGGCAUGGGGUGUACCGGGCUACUAGGCAGUGUGGCAGACCCUUGGCCAGACAGUCCAUUGUACAUGAGGUCAGAGUCUGUGUGCAAACACAGAUGCCUACACACCGCCACAGCCCAGAGAGCACACACCCAGGCACAGUGGCUUUUGCACAGUGGUGGUGCAACUAUGUGAAUCACAGGUGGGGUGUCGGCCUCCAUCGAAUAAGCUAGUUCACUAAGGAUGGGAUUUGGCGCUGUUAUUUUUCUAUUAGAGGGGAAUUAUGCUAAGCACUUAGAAGCCGUCAUGGCGUUGCUAUGGCAGCCCGUACUUCCUGCGGGGUUGCGACCUUGAAUGACUACACCAGUGCAAAGCCGGGUACCACAGAUAUCCUUUGAGGAUUAGAAGUACAGCUUCACAGUAACGCAAAAAUGCUUCAGAUAUUAUUGGAACUUGUAAUGACCAGUUUAUUGAGAUUAGCCGACUUCUUGCUAGCACUUGUCUUGUCACUCAUGCUUUGGCUAUGGCUGUAAGACGAAUCUACUGACCGUGCUAAGAAGAUGUGACGUCAUCAUCAAACUCGAGGCUGUUCUGCGCAUAUUCGGAUCAAGAACCGUUUCCGUGAAUCACAUCACGUCUUCACUUCAAUAGAAAUCGCGUAACUCACCUGCCUACAGAGCAAAGGAGUACCCUAAUAUUUUAACCUUUCUUUGCAAAAGUGCUUAUUUUCUCACAAAAGUGCUCAGAGAUUUAACAGAAGCUGGAAUAACACACGUUCAUCAUCAUGAAAUUUAAACAGUUAAAAUUAAUUUAUUUGGAAAUUUAUUUAGAAA
ensembl:lncRNA